rnacentral:rRNA from 1 species
GGGAUUGCCUCAGUAACGGCGAGUGAAGCGGCAACAGCUCAAAUUUGAAAUCUGGCGCCCCUGGGCGUCCGAGUUGUAAUUUGCAGAGGAUGCUUCGGGAUCGGCGCUGCCCCAGGUUCUUUGGAACAGGACGCCAUAGAGGGUGAGAGCCCCGUCUCUGGGCGGCAGCCGGUACCGUGUGAAGCGCCUUCGACGAGUCGAGUUGUUUGGGAAUGCAGCUCAAAACGGGAGGUAAAUUUCUUCCAAGGCUAAAUACAGGCCGGAGACCGAUAGCGCACAAGUAGAGUGAUCGAAAGAUGAAAAGUACUUUGGAAAGAGAGUUAAACAGCGCGUGAAAUUGUUGAAAGGGAAGCGCUUGCAGUCAGACUUGGCCGCCCGGUUCGGCGGGGCCUCGCGCCCCGUCUCCGCCGUGGCGGUCAGGCCAGCAUUGGUCCGGGCGACCGGAGAAAGGCUGCGGGAAUGUGGCUCCUCUCGGGGAGUGUUAUAGCCCGCGGCAGAAUACGGCCAGCCCGGACCAAGGAACGCGCUUCGGCUCGGAUGCUGGCGUAAUGGCUGCAAGCGGCCCGUCUUGAAACACGGACCAAGGAGUCUAACAUCUGUGCGAGUGUUUGGGUGUCAAGCCCUUGCGCGCAAUGAAAGUGAACGGAGGUGGGAGCCCUCGGGCGCACCAUCGACCGAUCCUGAUGUCUUCGGAAGGAUUUGAGUAAGAGCACAGCUGUUGGGACCCGAAAGAUGGUGAACUAUGCCUAAGCAGGGUGAAGCCAGAGGAAACUCUGGUGGAGGCUCGCAGCGGUUCUGACGUGCAAAUCGAUCGUCAAAUUUGGGUAUAGGGGCGAAAGACUAAUCGAACC